CCGCUAUUUAAAUCCUCCCUAACACUGAGUUCUACAGAGUACAGUCAUGAAAAAGCUGUUAUUGCACACGUCCAUCUACAUUGACUGUAAUGCACUGGUGCAGAUUUUUGCUCCAAGGAUGGGGUUCCCUCAGUGAAUCGUGUGGCAGCAUGAAUGUGGCACUGACUUGGAAAUGGAGACUUCUGAGUUUGUCUGGGGACUGCACUACCCAGACUCCGCUGUCCUCAUUCUCUCUCUUUGAGGUGCCGUCAGACCUUCGUUGGACAUUCUGGGAUGUCAGUUACUGUUCUCAAGGCAUCAGAACAUCCAGGGAUGGGGUUCUGGAUGCCCAUCACCCUUCUCUCCUCCAGGAUUCUGGCUGAUGGAGCAUAAACUGAGCCAAAGGGGCGCUUGUGGUCAGCUUUGUUCCCCAAAGUGACAGAAGUUACUGAAGUUGCCUGAAGCCAAAUUGGAACAUUUAAAUAUCUCUUUUCACCCCAAAGCUGGAGAAUUCCUCCCCUCUCUGGCUCCAUGGAGGUGGGGGUUCCUCAAGUAGUCUUAUGUGGUCUCAAAGCAGCCUCUGGUGCCUGAGCACCUGGGAAAAGGAGAGAGAGCCUGCUUCCUGCUUCGGAGCCCAGCCGGCCUGCACCCUGACUGCGUGGGCAGAGGCUCAGCCCUCCGACCUGGAGCUGCUCCCCCUGCGGGGAGGAGAGAGGAGCAGCUGAGGAGAGAUCUGUGGACAGCAGCCCCCAAACCUGCACUCCUGCCGUCACUCUCUAACAGUGUGGCCGGUCACACAGUCCGAAUGGAUGUCUGCGGGCCUUGAGGGAGGUGGGCGGGAAAUCCCACUUCUAGAGAGCCCAAGCACUUUUGAAACUUCUAAGUAUUUUGUAGUUUCUCUUGCUUUGGACGCACGUUGGUGGAUGGUCAGAUGAGAACAUUUGCAUGGAUUUGGGGGGCCCUGAGAUGGGGGAUAGCUUUCUGUGGGGACUGGGGAAACUGGCCUGGCACCUCUCGUUCCGAUGGCACCUCCUGCUGCAGGAACUGAGUCCGGGUAGCUGAGCAGCCUCCAGGUCCUGAAGGUCUGUUCCAGUUCACUCAGCGCCUGCAGGAAGAUGCGGGGAGGGGUCUGACCCUGACACCUUGAGAUGGGUGGGAACUUGAGUGGUUCUGUCUCACCCGAGCUCCCACCGCCUCACCCCUGUGACACCAGGCUGAUGAGAAAGCUCCAGACCUGGGGGUUCCCGACAUGCCCUUGACAACUGCAGGAGGAGGAGGGGAGGACAACGGCUUUGACUCUGGCCUCAGAGGAGGCCUGGCGUUUCUCCCAGCAGCAGCUGCAGUACCUGGCAAUCAGCAUCAUUUUACAACAGUGCAAAAUCAUCACCGAGCGUAUAAAAACUGAAAUUCAGAGCCAAGGCAUCGUUUAGGGGCGUCAGCGUACAGUGUAUGAAAACAUGAGCUCUAAAAAGGGCCAAUGUGAUCACGUCCUAUGUGUCCGUGGGAGUACUCACCCAUGCAUGUGCAUAAAACAUGGAGUUUACUGAUAAAUAGUUGAUAAUGCUCGUUCAUAUGUUCACUGAAGCAAGGCCUCUAAGACCUUCUCCCAACCGUUUCUCCUUGUGGCCACCAGUGGCCGAUCUGGGCAUCAGUUUCUUCACCUGCGAAGUGGGAGAUCGUCACCCUCCCUGCUGGUUCCACGUUGCCAUGAAAUAAUGCCAUCAAAUAAU
ensembl:lncRNA